rnacentral:rRNA from 1 species
CCGGCGACCGGCGCACGGGUGAGUAACACGUAUGCAACCUGCCCUCCGCAGGGGGAUAACCCGGAGAAAUCCGGACUAAUACCGCGUGGUACAUCUGUGGGGCAUCCCACGGGUGUUAAAAGGAAGCGAUUCCGGCGGAGGAUGGGCAUGCGGCGCAUUAGCUAGACGGCGGGGUAACGGCCCACCGUGGCGACGAUGCGUAGGGGUUCUGAGAGGAAGGUCCCCCACACUGGUACUGAGACACGGACCAGACUCCUACGGAAGGCAGCAG